UACGAAGGGGGCUAGCGUUGCUCGGAAUCACUGGGCGUAAAGCGCACGUAGGCGGUUUGUUAAGUCAGGGGUGAAAUCCUGGAGCUCAACUCCAGGACUGCCUUUGAUACUGGCGAUCUCGAGUCCGGGAGAGGUGAGUGGAACUGCGAGUGUAGAGGUGAAAUUCGUAGAUAUUCGCAAGAACACCAGUGGCGAAGGCGGCUCACUGGCCCGGUACUGACGCUGAGGUGCGAAAGCGUGGGGAGCAAACAGG
rnacentral:rRNA from 1 species